AGUGAGCGCUGGCGGUAGGCCUAACACAUGCAAGUCGAACGGCAGCACAGUAAGAGCUUGCUCUUACGGGUGGCGAGUGGCGGACGGGUGAGGAAUACAUCGGAAUCUACUUUUUCGUGGGGGAUAACGUAGGGAAACUUACGCUAAUACCGCAUACGACCUACGGGUGAAAGCAGGGGAUCUUCGGACCUUGCGCGAUUGAAUGAGCCGAUGUCGGAUUAGCUAGUUGGCGGGGUAAAGGCCCACCAAGACGACGAUCCGUAGCUGGUCUGAGAGGAUGAUCAGCCACACUGGAACUGAGACACGGUCCAGACGCCUACGGGAGGCAGCAGUGGGGAAUAUUGGACAAUGGGCGCAAGCCUGAUCCAGCCAUACCGCGUGGGUGAAGAAGGCCUUCGGGUUGUAAAGCCCUUUUGUUGGGAAAGAAAGGCAGCAGGUUAAUACCCCGCUGUUCUGACGGUACCCAAAGAAUAAGCACCGGCUAACUUCGU
rnacentral:rRNA from 1 species